UAACAGAGGGAGCUAAACCGCGAGGUGGAGCAAAACCCAAAAAAGUAAGUCUCAGUUCGGAUUGAAGGCUGAAAUUCGCCUUCAUGAAGCCGGAAUUGCUAGUAAUGGCAGGUCGGCAUACUGCCGUGAAUACGUUCCCGGGCCUUGUACACACCGCCCGUCACACCAUGAGAGUUGGGGAUACCCGAAGCCUGUGAGCUAACUUAUAGAGGCAGCAGUCGAAGGUAGAAUCAAUGAUUGGGGUGAAGUCGUAACAAGGUACC
rnacentral:rRNA from 1 species